AGGACUUUCUGAAUUUGACCCUUUUGAGUGAGUGAAGCUUUGUUCAGCUGUUGCCACUAAUAGCGCUUGACCUGAAUUUGUUCUUGAUUAUUUUGUUCUGUAGUCUGAGACAGCUGCUUUGUUUGGGACUGAAAGAAGAUUUGUUCAAGCCUCCUCUUUGUGACUCUAAGAACUCCUGGAUUCUCUUCCUGCAAAGUGUCUAAAUGUCUCUGUGUCCUUGUUGGCAUAAUGUGAGAAGGUGGGGAGACCAGAGCACCCCUACCCACCAAGACCCCAUCCCAAUACUGACCUAUGUUCUUUUCCACAGUCAACUUUCCUGUUCCAACAAAGGUAUGACUUAGAGGACUCCAUCGCUGACUCAAGUACACUGAUCUUCAAGUUUUUAUUUCUGUUCAGAAAAUAAGAAUCUAAAUAUAAAAUUGAUUUUUAAACAGUUGGGGUUAUUUGAAAUGAGGGGUUGAUUGCUUAAUGAAAGAAAAAGAUGCCUGAAAUUUGAGGAAGGAAAUAAAUUGGAGCACUGAGAACCAUUCACAGCCUGUUUUUGCUGUGCUGAGUCUGUUGCAGGUAGGGACAGAAGACUGUGAGGAGCAGAGAGUGUUUGGGACUGUGCCCAGUCAGUGCUCAGUCCAUGCUGGACUUUGGUCAUCAUCCCUGCUCCUUUCUCUUUGCCCCUCUGGUAAAACUUCUACAAUCUGUGAUCACAGGGAUACAGGAAUUGCCAGGACCAUGGGUAGCAAGGGC
rnacentral:lncRNA from 1 species